rnacentral:rRNA from 1 species
GGAAGGAUCAUUAUUGAAUUAUGUUUCUAGAUGGGUUGUAGCUGGCUCUUUGGAGCAUGUGCACGCCYGUUUGGAUUUCAUUUUCAUCCACCUGUGCACUUAUUGUAGUCUUUGGUUUGGGUAUUGAGGAAGUGGUCAACCUAUCAGCAUUUGCUGGAUGUGAGGAGUUUGCAGUGCGAAAGCAUUGCUGUCCUUUACUUUGGCCAUGGAGUCUUUUGCCUGCCAGAGUCUAUGUCAUUCAUUAUACCCUCUCGAAUGUUAUCGAAUGUUUUYACAUGGGCUUUCAUGCCUAUGAAAAUUAUAAUACAACUUUCAGCAACGGAUCUCUUGGCUCUCGCAUCGAUGAAGAACGCAGCGAAAUGCGAUAAGUAAUGUGAAUUGCAGAAUUCAGUGAAUCAUCGAAUCUUUGAACGCAUCUUGCGCUCCUUGGUACUCCGAGGAGCAUGCCUGUUUGAGUGUCAUUAAAUUCUCAACUCUCUUAUACUUUGUUGUAUAGGAGGGCUUGGAUUGUGGAGGUUUGCUGGCAACUUGUUUGCGGUCAGCUCCUCUGAAAUGCAUUAGCGGAACCGUUUGCGAUCUGCCACAAGUGUGAUAAACUAUCUACACUGGCGAGGGGAUUGCUCUCUGURUUGUUCAGCUUCUAAUCGUCUCAAUUUGAGACAACYUYUUGARUACUUGACCUCAAAUCAGGUAGGAYUACCCGCUGAACUUAA